UCCCAUGGAAGUGAACGUGCCACCCAGCAGCAAAGGGGAAUGAAAGCAGCGAUGGGAUUAAGGCAAUCAGCUGACCUUGAGAGGCAGAGAUGGUCUGGGCCCAGUGAGAGCACGAGGCCUUCAUCGUGGAAGCUGGACGCAGGUUGGGAUGCGCAGGACACAGCUGUGAGGAGGCUCCACCCACGCUCCUGGCUGCGAAGGUGGAGACCCCAGGCCACGGGAUGCAGGCGGCCACAGGUCCUCCCCUGGAGCCUCCAGGAGGAGCACACCUUGAUUCUAGACCAGGGCACCCCUUGAGUGAGACCUGCCCAGUCCUUGACUCUGGGACUGUGAGGUAUUGGUGUUUUAAGCUUCUUACUUUGCGGUAACUAUGGCGGUGAUAGGAAACCACAGGAGACAAUGCAUCUACCAAGCAGGCCAAGGCGUUCUUACAGGGUCCUGGGGGCAGGUGCACAAGAGGGCCCAACUCCCCGGCAUGAGACCCACAGUGUAGACUGUGCCAGUCUGGCUGGCACGAACGUGGCUCCCCGGGUAGUGUUCCCUGCACGUCUGUCAGCCCUGCCCGCUCUCCAGCAGGCCCCGCUGCCUGGAAAGUCGCCACUGGUUCUCCCUCCUGUUGCUGGCCUCCUCCUCUCUGGCUCUCUGCUGACCCCGACCCCUUGCCAGAUCACACCAAGAGACUUGGGUUGGUGGUAGGGAGUUGGGGUGGGAUGGGGAGAAGUCACUGGAGUGAGUGGGGAGGCACUGGACUUAGGGCAGAGGGCCUGGGCACCACACCACUGGAGGGCAGGAGGCAGGCAGGACGGGGAGGCAGGGCCAGUCCACCUGUGGUGAGCUCCCUGGCGGGAUGGGAGCAGGGCAGCUGGAACGCCCCACCUUGAAGCUGGCAUGCGGGCAUCAGCCUCCUGCAAGCUCUGAGGCUUUGUGACACCAGGAAUUGUUCCAUCUUAUAGCUUAGGAGGCUGGGGCUCUGUGCCUCUGCCUUCAGCUGACGGAAAAGCCCAGGGCAGGCUCCCCAUGGAGCAGACCUAGGCCUGGACUGCUGUGUGCAGGGCCCCUCCCUGGAGCACCCACCUCCCACCUGCAUCCUGUACAGGAG
rnacentral:lncRNA from 10 species